rnacentral:rRNA from 1 species
UACGUAGGGUGCGAGCGUUGUCCGGAAUUAUUGGGCGUAAAGAGCUCGUAGGCGGUGUGUCACGUCGGCCGUGAAAACCUGCAGCUUAACUGUGGGCGUGCGGUCGAUACGGGCAUCACUGGAGUUCGGCAGGGGGAGACUGGAAUUCCUGGUGUAGCGGUGAAAUGCGCAGAUAUCAGGAGGAACACCGGUGGCGAAGGCGGGUCUCUGGGCCGAUACUGACGCUGAGGAGCGAAAGCGUGGGGAGCAAACAGG